GUGUCAGCCGCCGCGGUAAUACAGAGGUCCCAAGCGUUGUUCGGAUUCACUGGGCGUAAAGGGUGCGUAGGCGGUCGGAUAAGUCUGAUGUGAAAUCUUCGAGCUCAACUCGGAAACUGCAUCGGAAACUAUUCGGCUAGAGGAUUGGAGGGGAGACUGGAAUUCUCGGUGUAGCAGUGAAAUGCGUAGAUAUCGAGAGGAACACCAGUGGCGAAGGCGAGUCUCUGGACAAUUCCUGACGCUGAGGCACGAAAGCUAGGGGAGCAAACAGGAUUAGAUACCCUCGUAGUCC
rnacentral:rRNA from 1 species